UGGCUGCAGUCGAGAGUCUUCCACAAUGGGCGAAAGCCUGAUGGAGCGACGCCGCGUGCAGGAUGAAGUUCUUCGGGAUGUAAACUGCUUUUCUUCGGGAGAAAAUUAUUGAUAGUACCGGAGGAAUAAGGGGUUGCUAAACUCGUGCCAGCAGCAGCGGUAAUACGAGUACCCCGAGCGUUGUCCGGAAUUACUGGGCGUAAAGGGUGUGUAGGGGGUUAUGUUAGUCCUAUUUUAAAUAUCCCGGCUUAACCGGGAGAGUGAAUAGGAAACGGCAUGACUUGGAGAGUGUGAGAGGUAUGCGGAACUCACGGUGUAGGGGUGAAAUCCGUUGAUAUCGUGGGGAACACCAAAAGCGAAGGCAGCAUACUGGCGCAUUUCUGACCCUGAAACACGAAAGCGUGGGGAUCGAAAAGGAUUAGAUACCCCGGUAGUC
rnacentral:rRNA from 1 species